rnacentral:tRNA from 1 species
GCCAGUGUGGCGUAGUGGUUUGAGUGUUGAACUGCGACUCUGGAGACCUGAGUUCGAUUCCCUGCUCCGCCA